rnacentral:lncRNA from 1 species
AAAAAUAUCUGAAAGUAAAGUGAAUAAUAUCAUGAACCCCAUACACUCAUCUCCCAGCUUCAAGAAUUACCAAGUCAUAGCCGGUUUCGGUGCAUCUUCCACUGCCCGCCCCCACCCCACACAGGGUUAUUCUGAAACAAACACCAGCAUCAUUUAAUUUUAUUAUUGUAUUUCUUUUUUCUUUUCUUUUCUUUCUUUCUUUUUUUUUUUUUUUUUGAGAUGGAGUCUUGCUCUGUUGCUCAGGCUGGAGUGCAGUGGCGCAACCUUGGCUGACUGCAACCUCUGCCUUCUGAGUUCAAGCAAUUCUCUUGCCUCAACCUCCUGAGUAGCAGGGGCUACUGGCACACACCACCACACCCGGCUAAUUUUUGUAUUAUUGUAUUUCUUCUGAGAGAUAGGAUUUAAAAAAAAAACCUAUCCAUCAUGACACCUAAAAGUUAAUACAAAUUUCUUAAUAUCAUAAAAUAUCCAGUGCUCAAAUUUCCUCUAUUGUUAUUUAUUUAUUCUUUUCUUAAGCCCUUGGUUUGUUCAAAUCAGGAUGCAAACAAAGUCCAUACAUUGCAUUUGAUUGAUGUUUCUUAAGUCUUUCAGUCUGUAGCAACCCUACUCCUGCCCUUUUUUGUUUUUCUCCGCAAAUUAUCUGUUGAGGAAGUUGGGUCUUCUGUGCAGGAGGGUCUUCUGUAAUUCUGGAUUUUACUGAGUGCACCCCAUAAUGCAAUGUGUUCCUUAGUCCCCUCAAGUUCCUGUAAAAUGGUGGUUAGGUUUAUACUUCAUCAGAACCACCUUUGAUUUUUUGCUGACAAUCUUUCAUAGACGGUGCUAUGAAAUCCUCUUAUAUCAUAUCAGGCAGCACAUAAUAUCUGCUUGUCUUUCUGUGUGUAAUAUCAAGAUGGAUGGAUGGAUUCAGAUGUUGUCAGCCUAGUCCAUCCAUUAUAAACUCCCCAUCAGCUCUUCAACUCAUGGUUUUAGCAGACAUUGAUGAUUAUUGUUGCACCCAUUAUUUUUUUAAUCACAAAAGUCAUACAUGUAGGCUGAGAAUGGUGGCUCACGCCUGUAAUCCCAGCACUUUGAGAGGCUGAGAUGGGUGGAUCACUUGAGGCCAGGAGUUCGAGACCAGCCUGGUCAACAUGGUGAAACUCCAUCUCUACUAAAACUACAAAAAUUAGCUGGGUGUGGUGGCACACGCCUGUAAUCCCAGCUACUCGAGAGGCUGAGGCAUAAGAAUCUCUUGAACCUGCGAGGCAGAGGCUGCAGUGAGCCAAGACUGUGCCAUUGCACUCCAGCCUGGGUGACACAGCAAGCGUCUGUCUCAAAAAAAAAAAAAAAAGUCAUACAUGUAAAAUUGUAAAAAAAAAAAACCCAAAUAUCCAUCCAAAGGAGACUGAAAAGAUAAAAGCAGUAAUUAUAUCACACUGUAUUUAUACAUCAGGCAAUAUAGCAGUCAGAAUUUAAAAUCUAAAUAUAUCAUUUGGGGAGGCAUACAUAUGUGUUAAAAGUAAAAAAUAUGUAUAGGAAUGAUAAACUCCAAAUGUAAGGUAUUGUUUACUUCUUUUUGUAUGGGAGAAUGAGGAAUAGGACUGGGUUUCAAUUAUAUAUAUGAUUCAAUCAUAUAUAUAUAUAUAUAUAUAUAUAUAUAUAUAUAUAUAUAUAUACACACACACACACACACACACAUUUUGUUUAUUAACAGAGGUCUGUCUGAACUAUUUAUUGCAAAAUGUUAAGAUUUGUCAAAGCCAGAAGGUGUUAACUUUAUCUCUGUAGUUUCUUUGUAAGUUUAAAAUAUAAUUUUUUAAAAAAGGACUUGACAUAUAAACAUGGAAAAUAUUGCCAACUCAAAAGGAUGCAUAAUAAAAAAUAUAUUCUGUUCAUUUCAGACCCAUGGUUCUCCUCCUCGGAGACACUGAUUAUUACCCAUUUCAUAUGCAUCUUUCAGGAAUUGUCUAUGUAAAUGAAAGACUUAAUAUCCAAAAGAGCUGCUCCUUUCAGAAAAACCACUUUAAAACAUUUUUCAUUUUUCGGGACUUGCUCUAUUGCCUAGGUGCAGUGAUACAAUCAUAGCUCACUGCAGCCUCAAACUCCUGGGCUCGAGCAAUCCUCCCACCUCACCCUCCUGCAUAUUUGGGACUACAGGUACAUACCAUGCCCAGCUAAUUCAGAAAAACCAUGAGCCAUCUUUACACACAUGGACAUCUGACUGCACCCACCCAUGUGGGAGGCAGCCUAUAGACUGAGGCCUUCCAUCUGGAGAGUCCACUUUGUGAGCUUUUAUUUUGGAGACUCCCUGGAAACCAGUCUUUGUUUUCCCUGUCAACGGACCUGAAGCUAUCUGGUUAGUCUUUUCUUUUUUUUCUUUUUUCUUUUCUUUUCUUUUCUUGUUUGAGAUGGAGUCUUGCUGUCACUCAGGCUGGAGUGCAGUGGUGCGAUCUCGGCUCACUGCAACCUCUACCUCCUGGGUUCAAGUCUCCCAAAUAGCUGGGAUUACGGGUGCCUGCCACCAUGCUUGGCUAAUUUUUUUUUUUUUUUUUAGUAGAGACGGGGUUUCACCAUGUUAGCCAGACUGGUCUUGAACUCCUGACCUCAGGUGGGCAGAUCAUGAGGUCAGGAGUUCGAGACCAGCCUGACCAACAUGGUGAAACCCCAUCUCUACUAAAGAUAUAAAAAUUAGCUGGGCCUGGUGGCACAUGCCUGUAAUCCCAGCUACUCGGGAGGCUGAGGCAGGAGAAUCGCUUGAACCUGGGAGGCGGAGGUUGCAGUAAGCCGAGAUCCCACCAUUGCACUCCAGCCUGGGCAACAGAGUGUGACUCUGUUUCAAAAAAAUUAAAUAAAAAUAAAUAAGUAAAGUACAAAUACUGGUUGUUUUAUUUGUGAAUAUAUUGGCUUAUUAACAUGGGCUAAAAUUAGUAAUAAUAAUCUACCUAUUCUUUCUAAAAUAACAUGUUGACUUCUGUUAAGUAUAGGGUGACCAACUCAUUCCUUUGCCUGGAAUUUUCCGUUUUAGCACUUAAAGUCCUAUAUCCCAGGAAACCCUUCAGUUCUAAGCAAACUGGGAUAUUUGGUCACCAUAUUUAAGUUCCAAAUAAACAUUGGACAAGUUUGAAUAGGAGGUGGCACAUUUUAACAAAACAAGUAGUAAUCUUGGUCUUUGCCCUAAAAUGGAACUGUUAACCAAAUACUGUCCAUAUAAAGUAAAGAUUUUCUCAGAACUUGUGCUAUUAUUGUUGGGAGGUGCCUCACGCUUUUAGACAGCAGAAUAGUAUUCCAUUGUAUGACUUCACCAUCAUCUUAUUAAAUCUGUUCCUUACUGAUGGACUUUUCGUGUCUUUCCAGUGUUGUGCUACAAUAAACAAGUCUGCCAUAAAUGUCUUUAUUCAUCUGUUCUGUAAACUGGCAAAUUCUGUGUAACAAUUUGUUUUGAAAAUAAGGUCUUCCUGCUAAAAACAAAACUCAAAAAGCCACAGGAUUAAAGAGUCUUUCAUCUUGGG